CUUCAUGUACUAAUUAAUAUAAUUCUGAAGCAAGCAUCCACAGGAACUUGAAGAUUAAAUGAACAUGCUCUUUGCUGAACCUUUACAUCCAAAUCAAGGAGAUAAACAGUUCAACUUUUACACUAAUUCUAAAAUUUCACAUUCAUAUAAUGAUCUUUCACAUAUUAGAUAUUGAAACAAUCACUAAAAUACUCUAACUAUAAUCACGCUUCCCCUUUAUACCGUGGGUUCUACGCUAACUACUACUUGACCAACUAAUUUUAAUUGUGCUCUUCUCAAUAGUAAUGCAAAUAAGAGCUUUCUGUACAUUAAUAACCAAUGAAACAACUAUCCACCUUGUAAACACAUACAACUUCCAGAUCUUAACCAUCAUUUAUCAUGACCCUCCACACACAUUAAUCAGCAUAAUGAACUACAAAUCAGUACUACUACAUCAUUCCAUAUUCAAUACAGAAUAGUGGGAGACAUAAGAAUAUUAAAUUGAAUCAGAUGACUUUAAGAAUGCAGAAACAUCAAACACGCGAUUGUAUUAUUACAAAACUCAACUUGAGUACACCAAACUUGAUGUUCAUCCUUUUUCACACAUUAGGAGGUGAAUUGAAUACCUGAAAAAAGCAAAAUAAGAGUGAAAUGAGAAGAGCAGCAGCAAACAGUAGCAAACAAACCCAAAUCCAACCAACUCAGUAGUGAAAUAAUAGAAUUGCCUUUGAAAAAGAAACUCAAAAGAACCAACCAACAAAAUCAAAUCCAAGCUCUUUCUACACCCAAGUUCAAACUCAUUUUAUCACUAGAUCAGUUUUUUAGAAGUUUUCCAGAAGUUUAAAACCAGCAAAGUGAUUUAAAGAAUUAAAACCAAGUAACACUAAUUCCACUAACUUUCAACAAUUGAAAACUAAGAAAAAUUGAAGAAAGUUUUGAUGAAACAAUAGCUUCCUAUCCAUUUUUGGGUUGUUUUAAUUUUCAGUACUUUUUUAUCCCUUAAGUCUGCCUUGAAAGGCAAGUUUAGGAUGCCUUUAUAGGUAAGGGACUAGGGCAGACCUUGGGAUUUUUGAUGUUGCACUCUCUCUCUCC
rnacentral:lncRNA from 1 species